UGGCGGCGUGCCUAACACAUGCAAGUCGAGCGGACCAAUGCUCAUUUCAGCUUUGCUGAUUUGAGCAACGGUUAGCGGCGGACGGGUGAGUAACGCGUGGGCAACCUGCCCUGUGCAGGGGGAUAACACAGCGAAAGCUGUGCUAAUACCCCAUAAGACUACGCUAUCGCAUGAUAGAGUAGUCAAAGCUUUAGCGGCACAGGAUGGGCCCGCGUCUGAUUAGCUAGUUGGNGGGGUAACGGCCUACCAAGGCGACGAUCAGUAGCCGACCUGAGAGGGUGAUCGGCCACACUGGAACUGAGACACGGUCCAGACUCCUACGGGAGGCAGCAGNGGGGAAUAUUGCACAAUGGGGGAAACCCUGAUGCAGCAACGCCGCGUGAGCGAAGAAGGCCUUCGGGUCGUAAAGCUCUGUCCUAAGGGAAGAAGUAUGACGGUACCUUAGGAGGAAGCCCCGGCUAACUACGUGCCAGCAGCCGCGGUAAUACGUAGGGGGCGAGCGUUAUCCGGAAUCACUGGGCGUAAAGGGUGCGUAGGCGGCCGAGUAAGCCAGAGGUGAAAGGCUACGGCUUAACCGUAGUAAGCCUUUGGAACUACCUGGGCUUGAGUGCAGGAAGAGGAGAGUGGAAUUCCUAGGUGUAGCGGUGAAAUGCGUAGAUAUUAGGAGGAACACCAGNGGCGAAGGCGACUCUCUGGGACUGUAACUGACGCUGANGCACGAAAGCGUGGGGAGCAAACAGGAUUAGAUACCCUGGUAGUCCACGCCGUAAACGAUGGAGUGGCUAGGUGUCGGGGGUUCACACCCUCGGUGCCGGAGUUAAAGCAAUAAGCACUCCGCCUGGGGGAGUACGGUCGCNAGACUGAAACUCAAAGGAAUUGACGGGACCCGCACAANCA
rnacentral:rRNA from 1 species